rnacentral:lncRNA from 1 species
GGCCAGAUUGGGGCGCUAGAGUAGGGAAUUACUGGGUGGGGGUUUUUAUUUUUUAUUCCUGUUAUGAUUCCGUAUUCAGUGUUCCAUGCUUAUUACGAAUCUGUGUGCUUUCCUCUGCUUUCCUCUGUUUUAUAUUCCUUAUGGGUGCCGUAUUUAUGUUAUGUCAUCUGCUUCUGUGCUUUACUAUGUGUUUGUGUGAUAUCUUGUGCCUGAGCCGGGGGUCUUUCGGAAACAGCCUUUCUACUUCAUCAGAGGUAGAGGUAUGGACUGCGUACAUCUUACCCCCCAGACCCCACUAAGUGGGAAUACACUGGGUUUGUUGUUGUUGUUGUAAUUUCUUAGGUGGCAAUGACCUGACACUGAUUUGGCACUGACAUAGCGUGUGUGUAACCCACUCUGUGAGAGUGGUAUUCAGUUUUGAGGGGUGAAAUAAAUACACUUUAAAGAUGUUAAGAGGAUAAAUAAAGAAGUUAAAUUUAAGUGUUAAAAUGAGUUUGGAGGACAAGUUAAGGGGAAAAGAUGUCUUUUCUGUAUAGGCACUAGAAAAAUAACUAAAAACAAAAAAAAACACCCUAGCGAUGAAACAAAAUUGAUUUUUGAUGAUCAACAUUGAAUGGAAUCAUUCAGCAGUUUGUUACAACAUACACAUUAGUCUUAAAAAAGAGGACAACCUGACAAUUCGGUGUACUAAAACUCUUGUUAUACGCGGGAUUUGAAAAAAGACUAAACCUACCUUACAUUUUUAUCUGAAGUUGUUUUCAGUAGUCCAAUUAAAUAAAAAAUGUGUCCAAAUAUAAGAAAAACAGCAAACAAAUAAAGAGAAAAACCAAAACCAAAACUAAAACAGUCAGAAAGAAUUCUCACAUGCUAGAAUACAAACACAUUAAUCAACGUACACCAACAUGUCAAGAAAGUUCAUUUUAACAGAAACAAAUAGCUAAACAAAAAGGAAAAAUAACAAAAACACACCUUACCAGCAGUAAGCAGAAUGCUGCAAAAGCUUGAAACAACAUGCACAUUAGUUAGAUCAAACAAAAGAAAAGAUGAUUUUAUUUUGAAUGUACCCCCAAAUGAAUCUUGAAAUAGAAGAAAAGAUUAAAAUUGAAAGAGUCCAUGUGGCGGCGGAAGAAAGAUGAUUUUAUUUUGUUGGGUUAGAAAAGUGUUGAGGAAAAAAUAGAUGUUGAUAUAGGCAAAUUAGUAGUAGUAAUAAAAACUAUUUAUGAAUUGUAAGUUAUUGAUUGUAAGUCACCUCUUAUAAAAAAAAAAACAAAGGAUUUAUUAGCACAUAAUAACUAUACGAUACUAAAUUUACUAUACUUGGAUGAUACUUAAAACUCUUUUACACACUUUCCAACUCUUGGACUACAAAAAGAAGAGGUGAUAUAGGAUCAAUUAAAUCUCUUAUUUAUUUUUUAUUUUGAGAGACUAAAUGUUAUUCACGUGUAAAACUACCUCCUUUUUAAACAAUUUUGAGUAAAAAAUCAAAUUUAGAGCUUAAAGUUAAAUUCAUUAUUUUUAAGGUAUAUAAAUUAGUAUAUAUUAC